rnacentral:lncRNA from 10 species
GGAAAAGAAACUUCAGCGCAGUGAGGCCCAAUUUGGACUUCUGACUCCAGAACUGCAAGAUAAUACAUUUGUAUCCAUUAAGCCACUAAGUUUGUGCUAAUUUGCUAUGGCAGCAACAGGAGACUAAUACACCUUGGCAGGUAGAGGUAGUCCUCCUCUGGGGCAAACAUAUAAGCAUGCUUACUAUACAAUAUAAUAAGGAUGAUGUCUCUUUCCAGGACAUAGGCAGGCAUGCUUAUUUCCUGUUAUAAAAUAUUCAGGUUUUCUAAGUUCAGUUUUUUGUUUUUUUGUUUUUUUUUUGCUGGAACACAAUUGACUGUGGAUGCUGGUAUUAUCUAGCCCUAUUUGCAUCACCUUGCGGGUACUGGGGUUUGGAGGAAUUGGCUCAGAUGCUGAUACCGUGGCUACUACUAUUGUGUCAGAAACGUGACUGAAACAUUUCUUCCUCUUAAGAGGCAUUAAGAGAAAAGGAUAGAUUUCCUGUUUCUUUUGCAAUUUUCCUCUUUAAGAAACAGAAAGAAAAAAAGAUCUUAUGUCCAUGCUCCUGGAAGUCACCAAUAAAUAAUACGGGCCAGGGCUUUUUCUUUUCAGCAGUGGGCUGAUUAAAUCCUUAUACUUGUUCUGGGUUAUAUGUCUGAAAUUUGUGUUCCUUUUGUUCUGAGGAGUACAAAAUAAUCAAUUCCUCUAAUGGAGAUUACCAGCUUGAUUAAUAGAUAAUCCUAAUGUGUUCUUUGUAAAAUACAUUAUAAAUGAUCUUUAAAGUUGAAGGAAAGAAGAUUGGGCCAUGUAGAAAUUUGGUUCUCAACAGAACCUCUUCUUGAUUGAAGAAAUAUAAGCAAAGAGUUUUAUAUAUUUCGGUAAGGGUAGGUAGUCUAUGCAUUUUCUGUUCUGAGUAUUACAAAAGGAAAAGGGAAUAAAAGCUUCUGCAUAUAGCAGAGAUAAACUCCAAAAGCAGGAGACCAGUGAAGCCCUGGAUCACUGCACUCCUCCAGCCUUCAAGGAGCAUGAAGAGGGUCCACAUAACAACAGAAGAUGCUUCAGAACAAAUUAUGAGUCCAUAAGAGAUAAAUUAGUGUCUUUAUUCAUUGCAAAGGAAUGGUUAUUAUAAAAAAAUCCCUGAUGCUGUCUCUCAGACUGAACUUACGUAUAGGCAGGAGAACACAUGUAAUUUAUUGACUGAUAAAACUGUAGGUAAGAAUACAUAUGACUUCUAUAACUUGUAUGAAAAAUGAAACUACACUUAAAUGUAGGAGCAGUUUAUAUUGUUUGAUAUUUAACUGGUUGAGUGGUUAACAUAUAAUAUUUAAAAAAAUCUUCUUUUAGUAGGCAGUUUAAUGCUUAUGGUCUAAUUUUUAUUUGAAGACAUUUUGCUGCAGCAGAAACAUAGCUGUGAUUCAUAUACCUACUCUUGAUAUUAGCCUGGCCGUUU